CACAAGCGGUGGAUCAUGUUGUUUAAUUCGAUGAUACGCGAAGAACCUUACCAGGUCUUGACAUCCCCCGCGAUGCUUCAGAGAUAAAGCGGAGGUAUUCGGGGAGACAGGUGGUGCAUGGUUGUCGUCAGCUCGUGUCGUGAGGUGUUGGGUUAAGUCCCGCAACGAGCGCAACCCUAUUGCUAGUUACCAUCAUUAAGUUGGGGACUCUAGCGAGACUGCCAGUGAUAAACUGGAGGAAGGUGGGGAUGACGUCAAAUCAUCAUGCCCCUUAUGACCUGGGCUACAAACGUGAUACAAUGGCUGGAACAAAGGGAUGCGAAGCAGUGAUGUGGAGCGAAACCCAUAAAAACAGUCUCAGUUCGGAUUGAAGUCUGCAACUCGACUUCAUGAAGUCGGAAUCGCUAGUAAUCGCGGAUCAGAACGCCGCGGUGAAUACGUUCUCGGGGUUU
rnacentral:rRNA from 1 species